UCUUCUCCUGCCCUCAAUCUUUCCCAGCAUCAGGGUCUUUUCAAAUGAGUCAGCUCUUCGCAUUUAUUUCUUACUGUUUUGCAUAUAUCACACAAAUCCAGAUCUUAUGACUUUCACCAAUUUUAUUGGAAUCAGGAAUGAUAGUUUUAUAAUUUCUUUUAACCCGAGUUUCUUCAUGGCCUGCUCUCUGUUUAUCACCUUGCUUUAUCUCUUGCACUCUUCUUUCUGCCACACCCUGCCACGCACACCACAGACCACCUGCGUCACUUCUGAUAGUGAGUACUCCGUGCUUUACCUCCAGUAUGGUGCAGUGGUUAAGAGGUAGACCCUGCUUUCGGCCCAGCCCUACAUUCACUCUUCCACUUCUGGUAAGUUACUUUCCCAGCUGUGCCUCAGUUUCCUCAACUGAGAAUAAUGUUAGAACCUCACUUGAAUGUGGAAAAAGUAAGUGCAGAGUGCUUGGUUCACAGUAGCUUACAUACUAUUGGAUGCUAUGUUAUUUGAUAGAAAUUACAUAUUCUUGUUUAGGGUCUGUUCUGUUCCGUUUUGCUCUUCAAGCGUAUUACUGUGAUUGGGGGUGUAUUAAAUGUGUGUGCUUACACAUUUCAAGUUCUACUUUAUGAAUGUGUAUGACAAAAGGAAUUCAUCUUGAUAGAGUACUUGUACAUGUAGAUUAGUACAUAACUGUUGAGAAAUUAAUGAAAAUUUUAUUAAAAAUGUUCCUGUUGCCUAGAGACAACAUAGAGGCUUGAACAUAUCUCUACAAACUUUGCAUUGAAGGACUGAGGUUUACGUGUGGACUUGUUUCUUCCUAUUAAAAAAACAAUUAAAUGUGUGGAAGGUCCCAAGGCAAGUCUCUUUCUUUUUACCUUGACUGGUCCACUGCAGGGAGAUCUUGGAAUUAUCUGGUAAUUGGGUCUGACAUGAUUCAUGAAGAGGGACUGCCCUGUGUGGAGACUGAAAUGCCGGGUCACAGUCAGCUCCUCACUCUGGCUUUUGUUACCACUAAUGCGAUCACUGUGUGUCCAGCCCAGGUGUUAUGUCCGUAUCUCACACACAGCAGAAAGGCUACAGGAAGCCUUUCAAAAGUAGGUAUUUGUUUUUCCAGGGGUUAGUGGCACCCUUCUUUGUCUAAGUAAUGGAUCUUACAUUGUGUAUGUUAAACUUAUUGAGCAUUACUUAAAUCCCAUAACACAUACCAACAAUGUGAUUAAAGCUAAUUUCUGUUGGAUCGUUUGUCAGAUUAAUUGGUUAGCGCCCCAGGUGCAGAGUUCCUCUUCUAAGCACUAAAAAUAGCAUCGUUACAGAAUCUUCAAAAAUGCGGUAUGUAAGCCAGUUGCCACAUCCAAAAACUGAAUUAUUUAUUCAAGUAUUUCAUUUGCAACUGAAUGUUUGACAGUUGUGGCAAAAAGCAAUGUAAAAAUAUGAAGAAAUGUUUUGAUAGUAAUUUUUGAAGUUUUUGAAUUUUUUGAAGUAAGUUUUGAAGUAAUUUUUCCUCCUUUGACCUUUAAUUUGCUGUCAUACAUUGACUUCAAAGCCCUCAGUGUAAUAUACAGAAUCCCCAAACAUUCCUUUCAUUUGUUUUCCCUGAUCCCAUGUUAGCUUUUCCUGACGUCUUACAGACACUGUAUUCGAUUUACAUUUCUUCACAUCAGAUUUUUAUUUUCCUAAUUCCUGUAGGAAAAAGUGAACAUGCGACAUAGCAUGCAUAAGGUAACUAAAAGACCACCCUAAUGUAAAAAUGUAUACUUAUAUAAACAUAUAAACCCGAAGACUCAUCAUUUGUUUUUUUCUGCCCACUCAGCAAAUCAGUCAGUAUAUCCCCAUAUUGAUUAUUUCUUUUCAUUCUCUCUCUACUGUCUUGGUCUCGACUACAUCAUUCCCUGCCCACAGUAUUUCAAUAGCUUCUUAAUCGGUUUCUCUGUCUUAGUUCAUUCUUUCUCUUGGCUCUUCUAUUUAGUAUGGUCAGUAUAAUUCUCCACUCUCAUCUUUGUCAUUUUUUCCCCUUAAAAACUGACAAUGCCUAUUAUUUAUUUGUCAAAGUGAAACUUACCAGCCUUUCUAACUUAAAUUCAAAUACUGAGCUCUGGCUAGCAGAGUGUGGGCAGAGGUGAUGUUCCUAUCUCCAUGCCUGGACCACAAGACCUCCUACACCACUGGCUUCAUGCUUUCUCUCUUCCAUCAUCUCCUGACAGUGUCAGGAAAACAGUGGAAAACUUUGAAAUGAUAGAGAAUGAAAGAAUCGAUAGAUUAAAAAGAGUAGGGUCUUUCAGUAACUUCAUGGUGCAAAGCUCUUUGUCCCUAAAUCCCACUCCUGUAAGCAAGAAAGAGAAUUCCAUUGUUUUGUGGGGGAGGUAUUUGUUGAAGCAGUUAGCCAGCUAUCCUAAUGUGUUUCAGUUUUGCAGCAGCAGUAUUAUUGGUACAAGUCAAGAUUAAUUAAUUUGCUGGGGGGUUAUUAUUUGGAUUUGGGACGCUUUGUGCAGUUUUUUCAUUAGUUCCUUGCAUAUGGUUUUUGAAUGUAAUAGUCUUUUUGUUUGACAAGAAAUAAUUCAUCUUGAUAGCGUACUUGCAUCUAUUUUGUCCUAGGUACAAAGAGGAAGCAAAGAAAAGGUUAUUUCUUUAAUAUACUUCUAAAAAGCUUAUGGGUUAUAUUGUAGUCUUACCUUGAGCCCAUUUUCUACUAAAUUUUUACACUCAGCAUAGAACCUCAACAACAUUGUCACUCCUGUUAGAAUACCAAGUGAUUAGAGUCAUUUUCAGGUCUUAUCUGAGACACCCAGAAUUGUUCUGUCGCCUGAUUGUUCCUAGGGUUUGAUGCUAAUGGAAGAGUUUUUGUUAAUUUUUCCUUAUUGCUUCUAAAGGAAAAUUCUUUUACUGAAUUCCCACUGUUGUACAAAAUCAAUGUAAGCUUUAUUUUGCAAGCACCCAUUACUUCAGGCAGUCCUUUUCAUAGCUUGAGCACUUUGAUGGCAAUACCUUGGUAAAGAAAGCGCCCCGCAUCAUUCCUAGAAGUUAAGUUUCUGUGGGAUGACUAGGCCUGCAGACAGAAGAAGGAAAUCCCGUCUUGUGACGUGGCCCAGCACUGGAGCGUGUCAUUUGUGGCCACUUCUCUUUCAGCCAUCCUUCUCUCUGCCAUCUUACAAAAUCUCUCUCUUAUCUGAGGACUAGAAAAUGACAUUUACUAGAUCACCACUUCGGAAUUCACGUUUUGGAUAAAUACAGGAUGUCAAGAGGGUCCUGACAAUUUAUUUCAAAAUCUUGUUUUGCUUCCAAAUAGCAUCAGUUGUUCAUUCUUCACAUUUUCUGCUCUAGGAAAACAUAUAUGCAAGAGGUUUGUUUACUCCUAGGUUAUUUAACAUAAAACGCUGAAUUAACAGGUGACCUUGGUCAAUGCCAUUCUCAGAUAUGUGUAACAAUCCCUGAUAAUAUAUUUUAUAACCUUUCUGGGUGAGUAGGGAUUGAGGCAUGUCAGAAAGGUCAAAAGAGGGGAGAAGAGGAUAAAAAGAAACCUGGUGUUUGGUUUCUAAGCCUGUCUCUGGAACUGGACUUGAAAGCUUUAGGGACCAGCCACCACAGAGACCACACUGCUAAUCUCGUUUGCUUUUACUGUACAUUAAUGGGCUCACUAAGAUGACGACGCUUCACAUCGUGUUGUCAUUGCCUGUUUAUGUUUGUCUUCCAUGCAUGGAGGAAAGGAUCAAUCACGUGUUACUUACCUUUGAAUCUUGAAACAAACACAUUCAAUAAAAGUUUUGGUAACUGAGAGAGUGAAUAACUGAAGUGACCUCUACAUUUGACUGUCAUUGUAGUAUAACAGGAUAUUAUAAUCGAGCUAUAGUCCUGAUUACAUAUGAACCCUGAUUUACCAUUUAGGCUUUUUUUACAAGAUAAAAGUAGUAAAGGAAGAAAUUAGUAGUGAGAAAGAGGAAUGAAGGUCAGGAUCAUGUAGAUGAGGAAGAAUGGGUAAAGGUUAAUCAUUAGAAAACAGAAGAGAUUUAAAAGUAAGAGGUGAUAGGAUUUAUAGAUGGAGAUAGGGAAAGAGUUAUGAAAGAGAUGAACGUGUGGGUGGAAUCAGCCUGUGAGCAUCCAGGAUUAUAGUCAAGUAGUUCUCCGACUCACUGAAUAGGCAGUUGUGAAGAUGUAGUACAGUAAGCCGCAGAGUUUCUUAGAGGGAAGCUGUUCCACAGAUAAGAAAGUCUUUUUAUUCCGUAUUAUUAUUUUCCUUUCAUGUUGGGAGGAUGUACCAGUGACAGUUGGUCUCCUUUCAGCCAAAUAGCUCCCAUAUGCUACAUAAUGCUGCUGCUGAUUAAAAUCCUAUGGAAGAGUCAGCCUGUGUCUGGAACAAUAGCAGCCUGAAUUCAAAUGUAUCCGUCUUCUGGGGAAGCAGAGAUAAUCAAAUUCCCCCCUUCAGCAACUUUGGGAACACACCAUUUGACAAGAUACAAUGGGUGUGAGUCACACACGUUCUGUCUGUAUACCUGCUGCCUGUUGAUCACCAGGUUCUGGCAUUUUACUGUCUCCAUGUGAUGUCAGUGGCUCCUGGAAGCUGCAGAGUUAGCUCUUCCUCAAAUAAUACCAUCUCACAGAAAGAAAACCAUCCCUUCAUCAGCCCUGUCUACCCCUGAAAAGGACUCAAGCUGGCCUUGAUGAGGAUUAUAAGCUCUGUGAAAUUCUUCAGUGAAUCCCCAGUGCCUUGACGAGGACAUGGCAGCUGAUUUACGCCCACUGUAUUGGAGCGGAGGAAGGAAAGGAAAACAUAUAUCUAUCUCCUUAUAGAACUGCCUGAGCAGUGGCCACAGGACUGGCAAAGGUCAGUUUUCAUUCCAAUCCCAAAGAAAGGCAAUGCAAAAGAAUGCUCAAAUUACCACACAAUUGCAUUCAUCUUACAU